UCAAAAUUAUGCUUUUCAAUCGCGACUGCGACGCAAUGCAUGUGCCGUUCUUAUAACCUCGAAGAAACUUGUAAACUUGAAAACGAUAUUGUUCCUCCAAACAAUAUGGAUUUCUUCAUGGUCAAACUCAAAUAAAUAUAUACUGAGCAGCACUGGAAAUUUCCAUCAUUUGAUAAAAUCACUUUCAUCUGGACGAAUAGAUGAGCGAUUGCGACGACGCUCUUCGAUCAAUGAAACAUUUUUAAGCAGAUCCUCGAGCCUCGUCGAAGUUGGAUCGGCAAAGAAAUGAAUUUUCCUGUCUCCGGGUUUGCUGACACAUGCUGCGAACCUUUUUGUUGACGACAUCAGUCUUUAACGCACUCUUCUGUAAUAAUCCAAAUUCCAACUUUGUUAAUUGUGCCAAAAAAGUUUGCAGACGAAAAUGUUCAGAAUGAUCAAAUUUAAGCUUCCACUUACCUUUAUUUUUCAUCUCCGACUCCCAGAAAUAUUCCGUUGUCUUCUUUGACAUUUGAAAAUAGUAUACGAUGCGGUAAAUUAGGAGGCACACAAAAAAAAAUAUGAGAAGUACUCUAAAAAUUUCUUUGUCAAUGUUUGGAUUGAAUGUUGGUGUUCUGAUGUGCGUCAUACUGUGGCUGAGAAAAAAGGAUUUGAAUAACGUUGGAUCGAUGACUGCAGGACGAAUGAAUAUAAGCCAGAGAUACCAUCGGUCUAAGGCCACCGUUGCAAUGAACUUGCAGCAAUAAUAUUUCUAACCAGAGCCUGGAACUUCUGUUCUCCAACCCCCACUCAAUGCGAAUUUUGAUGAGGGGAUCAGAGAUCCAGGGAUAGAAAUGAGACUGGGAGUACGCUUAAAACAUGAAAUCAGAUUCAUCUUUGACUCCUUGCCCCUGUAGAAGAAUCUCACUCUGUUCGUUAACAUUUUUUCCACAGUUUUUAUGAACUCCGUCAUAGUUAAAGGGUGCGUGACCUUCCAGGGUGUUUUCCCCUGGGAGCGUUGGAGAUACAGCGGAAGUCCAUGGGACUAAAUUUGUAGAGGAUUCAAUUUGCUUUGAAAAAGCUGCUGACAGCUUUCCUCCAUCUCUGGAAGUUUAACAGUGCGAACGCUUCGUAAAAUACCAGAUUGCUUGCAACGAUUCAGGAUUCUGCAUGAAGCAAACUUUCUUCUUUACUUCUUUUCGAAAAUCAAUCAUUCCACGUUAGGAAUGCGGUUAAAAACAUUGGAAGAAAAAUCACACUUUGAAGAUAUUUAUUCAAUGACUUUGUCAAAGAUUUUACAUUGGUGCGUACAAUUCGCUUUAUUCUAAGCACAGAUCUCACUGCUCAAGGGUUAGUAAUAACUCGGAUUAGUGGUUAAUAACGUUGAAGGCUAAAAACAUCUGAAAUUCGACAUUUUUUUUUUUUUAAUUAGGAUAUAAAGAAUUGAAAAUUGCUGAGAUUCGUUCCCAUCGCAUGAGCAUAAAAAUUAAAAA